rnacentral:piRNA from 1 species
UUUAAACCAUUGAUGCAGGAUAAUUG